UGCUUUUAAGUUAUAUAAGUUUAUUUAUUCUCAUUCCAAUGUGUACAGAUUAAAAGGUUGCAUUUUAGUAGAGUCAGUUCAUAGGCACUGUGUAGUACUGAUUUCUCCAGAAGAAACAAGAGGGGCAGACAGUGACGGUUAAGGUCUGAAUGGCCAUAAAGAUGGGCCUUUCCCCCAAGAACCGAGCUCACAGGUAUUUGCCCACCACUCCAGGAAUCCUGUCCUGAUGAGGGGUAAAGAAAGACAGAACAUUUUCUGUCAUGCUCAGAAUGUAGGCUAAGGCUCGAGGCUGCAGGCUGUAAAUGUUCCCAGGCAGGCAAGGCCUCAGGUGCUACUGGCUCAGUAGCCACGAUGGCUCCUGCCCCUGGGGUUCAACACCGAUCAACACAGCAUUACUCAUUUUCAGAAGACAUGAGUGAAUGAGUCUAAGCAAUGCUUUCUACAAAAAAGUGGCAAGGUUCAGAAAAAAAGAUGUUUGCUCCAAGGCACCAAGGGUAUAAUGCUUUUCAGAAAAAUUCACAGAGACCAGACUAAACUAGAGAAUUAGAUCUCAGUGAAAGAACCCCAUUACUGCAACUAGUCAAAAGAUCACUUCGGAGAGACUGAAGGGAGGGCCUACUGAGCGGCCCACGGCAAGCCUCAGAAACCACCGCCCAGAGAAGCGCUCAUCCUUGUCCCGCGCCUGGCUGGAGGAGGAAGUUAUCAUUUGA